AAUCAACGCUGGCGGCGUGCCUAACACAUGCAAGUCGCACGAGAAAGGGACUUCGGUCCUGAGUACAGUGGCGCACGGGUGAGUAACACGUGAAUCAUCUACCUUCGAGUGGGGAAUAACUGAGAGAAAUCUUAGCUAAUACCGCAUAAUACCUACGGGUCAAAGCAGCAAUGCGCUUGAAGAGGAGUUCGCGGCAGAUUAGUUAGUUGGCAGGGGUAAGGCCUACCAAGACGAUGAUCUGUAUCCGGCCUGAGAGGGCGCACGGACACACUGGAACUGAAACACGGUCCAGACUCCUACGGGAGGCAGCAGUGGGGAAUUUUGCGCAAUGGGGGAAACCCUG
rnacentral:rRNA from 1 species